rnacentral:rRNA from 1 species
ACGUAGGGGGCAAGCGUUAUCCGGAAUCACUGGGCGUAAAGGGUGCGUAGGCGGCCGAUAAAGUCAGGGGUGAAAGGCUACGGCUCAACCGUAGUAAGCCUUUGAAACUUAUUGGCUUGAGUGCAGGAGAGGAGAGUGGAAUUCCUAGUGUAGCGGUGAAAUGCGUAGAUAUUAGGAGGAACACCAGUGGCGAAGGCGACUCUCUGGACUGUAACUGACGCUGAGGCACGAAAGCGUGGGGAGCGAACAG